rnacentral:lncRNA from 1 species
GAUUUCUUCUUUUAAUCAACUUUUCUUCUUUUUCUUUUGAUUCUCCACCUUUAAAUAGACAUGCUAAUCGUUUGAGAAGGAGUUCUAGCCAUUGGAAUAAAGAAAAUAGCCAUUGGAAGUGAUUGGGGGCAAAAGACUGAAGUUCUGAAAACUAACCAUUACAAUCAGCUACAGUAACUAGAUCGAUUAAGUUUUUCACUGGGUUGACUAAAUGCUAGAUCAGCUCAGUUUUUUUUCAAUUUUUUACUGGAUCAGCUCAGUCUGAGAUUCAAAAAUUUUAAUUUUCUAUUUUCUGUAUCCACUCAGACU